ensembl:lncRNA
CUUUUAAAGAGGGCAGCUUUGUGAAUGAGCUGGCGGGGGAGAGGGCCAUUUCUCAUGCCAUCCUAUCCUAACCAAAGGGCGCAGGAAGAUCUGGUACAUUUUUAGAUUUGAAAUACAUAGUCCAUCCUAAAGGAAAUCAGUCCUGAAUAUUCAUUGGAAGGACUGAUGCUGAAGCUGAAACUCCAACACUUUGGCCACCUGAUGUGAAGAACUGACUCAUUUGAAAAAUCCCUGAGGCUGGGAAAGACUGAAGGCAGGAGGAGAAGGGGACGACAGAGGAUGAGAUGGUUGGAUGACAUCAUCGACUCAAUGCACACGAGUUUGACUCCCUUGCCUGACAAGUAAUUUUAAAUAUGCAGCAACGCACCACCGUGCACUCACACAGCCUAUUGCUGAGCCGCAUUCCAGCCAUGCUUGAGCAGCUGCCAAGACACCCAGGGCACCAGGCCUUGCUCCAGGGUCAUGGGGACUACAGAUUUGGGCCAAUAGAUAUCUUGAUGAUCUCCACACUAUUGUUCUGAAGGAAUCAAAUCUUGACACAUCUAAAACUGAAAUCAUUCAUUAACCCUAAACCAGCUGUUGUCUCUACUUUCCUGAAUGGAGCCACCAUCCAUGCAGCUGCCCAAGCCCAUGUCUUGGCUUCACCCUUGAUUCCUGAGGCCUCCUCAUUCUACAACCUGGGAUCGUCUCCAGGCUUUGUCUGUACAGCCUCUAAAACAUUUCUCAGAUACAGCCAAUCCUCUCCCUUCUCACUGCCCCUGACCUGUCAGGCUGCGAGCAUCUCUCCUCUGGCCUCCUCAUGGGUCCUUCCAGUCAAGCUCGCUUUCUCCAACCCUUUGACCACAACCUUCGAAUCAUACUACUGUCCAACCUUCCUGGGUUCUUUAUUUGAAGACAAAGCCUAAACCCUUUGGCAUGGUAGAGGGAGCUCACUUUGAACAUGAGUUCUGUCACUUGCAGCUUAACCUGCAAAAUGAAAGUAAUAAUGACAAUGAGGAUUUUAAAUGAGGUGUAUAGAAGUGGCAUAAAUCAGUAUCCAGUAUAUCGAAAGUACCAGAAAACUCACUUUUAUAAUUACUGCUGCUAGUCACACCCUGCUCCCCUCUCGCUUUCCAACUGUAUCUCCUGACCAGAAGGCCGUAUUCUAGGCAACCACAUACAUCCACCAAGUG